rnacentral:rRNA from 1 species
GCGUGAGUGAUGAAGGCCUUCGGGUUGUAAAGCUCUUUUGCCUGUGACGAUGAUGACGGUAACAGGCGAAUAAGCCCCGGCUAACUUCGUGCCAGCAGCCGCGGUAAUACGAAGGGGGCUAGCGUUGUUCGGAAUUACUGGGCGUAAAGGGCGCGUAGGCGGCCCUAUCAGUCAGGCGUGAAAGCCCUGGGCUCAACCUGGGAACUGCGCUUGAUACUGUAGGGCUUGAGGACGGGAGAGGAUGGUGGAAUUCCCAGUGUAGAGGUGAAAUUCGU